UACGGAGGGGACUAGCGUUGUUCGGAAUUACUGGGCGUAAAGGGCUCGUAGGUGGCCAACUAAGUCAGACGUGAAAUCCCUCGGCUUAACCGGGGAACUGCGUCUGAUACUGGAUGGCUUGAGUUCGGGAGAGGGAUGCGGAAUUCCAGGUGUAGCGGUGAAAUGCGUAGAUAUCUGGAGGAACACCGGUGGCGAAGGCGGCAUCCUGGACCGACACUGACGCUGAGGAGCGAAAGCCAGGGGAGCAAACAGG
rnacentral:rRNA from 1 species